rnacentral:rRNA from 1 species
GGGGAAUAUUGGACAAUGGGGGCAACCCUGAUCCAGCAAUGCCGCGUGUGUGAAGAAGGUCUUCGGAUUGUAAAGCACUUUCGACGGGGACGAUGAUGACGGUACCCGUAGAAGAAGCCCCGGCUAACUUCGUGCCAGCAGCCGCGGUAAUACGAAGGGGGCUAGCGUUGCUCGGAAUGACUGGGCGUAAAGGGCGUGUAGGCGGUUUACACAGUCAGAUGUGAAAUCCCCGGGCUUAACCUGGGAGCUGCAUUUGAUACGUGUAGACUAGAGUGUGAGAGAGGGUUUGUGGAAUUCC